CUAGUACUCCCUUCGUCCCAAAAUUCUUGUCAUAGAUUUGUCUAGAUACGGAUGUACCUAAUACUAAAACGUGACUUGAUACAUCCGUAUUUGGACAAAUCCAAGACAAGAAUUUUGGGACGGAGGGAGUAGUUC
rnacentral:pre_miRNA from 1 species